rnacentral:rRNA from 1 species
GAAUCUUCCACAAUGGACGAAAGUCUGAUGGAUAAUUGCCGCGUGAGUGAAGUAGGUUUUCGGAUCGUAACACUCUGUUGUGAGGGAAGAACAAGUAUGAGAGUAACCGCUCGUACCUUGAUGGUCCCUCAUCAGAAAGCAACGGCUACCUACGUGCCAGCCGCCGCGGUAAUACGUAGGUGGCAAGCGUUGUCCGGAAUUAUUGGGGGUAAAGCGCGCGCAGGCGGUCCGUUAAGUCUGAUGUGAAAUCCCGCGGCUCAACCGUGGAAGGUCAUUGGAAACUGGGGGACUUGAGUACAGAAGAGGAAAGCGGAAUUCCAAGGGUAGCGGUGAAAUGCGUAGAGAGUUGGAGGAACACCAGUGGCGAAGGCGGCUUUCUGGUCUGUAACUGACGCUGAGGCGCGAAAGCGUGGGGAGCAAACA